UACAGAGGGUGCAAGCGUUGUUCGGAAUUAUUGGGCGUAAAGGGUGCGUAGGCGGCGCGGUAAGUCUCUUGUGAAAUCUCCGGGCUCAACCCGGAGCCUGCAAGGGAAACUGCCGUGCUUGAGUGUGGCAGAGGAAGGUGGAAUUCCACGUGUAGCGGUGAAAUGCGUAGAGAUGUGGAGGAACACCAAUGGCGAAGGCAGCCUUCUGGGCCAACACUGACGCUCAUGCACGAAAGCGUGGGGAGCAAACAGG
rnacentral:rRNA from 1 species